rnacentral:lncRNA from 1 species
UGGGCAAAUAAACCAUCUGACUUCUCAAGGGGCUUGCUGUGUUCUGGUCCUGUGGUUGUCACAGGCUGAACCACCUGGGAAUGAUUGUAGCUGGCCAGUCCAUCUCUUCCUGGUACCAUGUCCAAUUCUGUUUGCUGUUGCUGCUGCCUGGGUGCCAGCUGUCCUGAGCCCAUCUCCAGGGGUAAAUUAGCUGUGGGACCUAGUUGUGGCCUCUGGAUUGUGUUGGAGAGUGUAGGCCGUGGUUCUUGGCUAGAGUUCUUCACAUUGGUGUUGGUACAGAUGAUGUACUCAAUUUCAUCUGAGUAAGGGUUCUGGAAAGUAAAGGAGCUGGUUCUCAUCCAGAGCCAUUCUUGGUUCUUAGACCGGAACCGGAACAUGACAGACAGCACUUGGCCUUUUAAUUU